AAUUGCACUAUUUGUCCAUAUAGUACACACUAAUAGAAGGGAAUGAUUUAUAAUCGCACUAUCCGUUGCACCCAGAUGAGGAUGGGUUCCCUUUUGAGUCUGGUUCCUCUCAAGGUUUCUUCCUCAUAUCAUCUCGGGGAGUUUUUCCUUGCCACCGUCGCCACUGGCUUGCUCAUUAGGGAUAAAUUCACGGAGGAGCUGAUAAUGAAAGACUGAUUACGGUGACAGCUGUUCUAGCAGUGAUAGCAGUUGUGGGGCUUUGUGCGCUUUUGAUCUUUUGUCUGUGGAAAAAAGGAAAAUGUGGUUUUAAUUGCUGGAGAUCAGACGGAAACUGUGAUUCACCUAAAGACACUGAGUUGAGGGAAAGACUGAGAGAAUCCCGACAAAGGAAAUGAUUGUUCUGUGGUUUUGAUCCGGAAUGAUGUACGAUAUUCCCAUCAGGACCCAGGCACAUAAUCUGCAGUACAGUAUAUUAAACUCCAAGCAAACUGGCAAACUGUAUUCCUUUCAUUAUGAUAUGAAGAAGGAACAGUUUUUCUCAGGACAAACAUGAACGUCUGUUCUAUAAGCUUUUCAGCUCAGAAUAUGUGGAAUAUCACACAGUAUUCAGUCUCAGAACAGUUUUUUUUUCACCUGUGCCAAACUUGGAUCCUUGAGAUCACUGCCUCAAUCUGUGAAGCAUUUUAAAGUCUUCUUUUUAUUGUAUUGUAUAUUGAU